ensembl:lncRNA
AUUCACAAGACAUCGAACUACAACGGAUCUGCGCAGUGUGGCGUGAAUUCUUCGAAGCAAGACUGAUUUAUUGGAAAACUUUGGACAGAUUGAUUAUACACUUGAAUCUGGUCGAGGUACAGAUUUUAUCCCUUUACUGUAUAGCACGCUUGAAAAUGUGAAUAGAACCAGAUUUCGCUGCACUGUGUUUCGGUAUCAACCGGUGACGACACACCCGAUCACAAAGAGAUCAUAAUUAUUGUUGCAUGUUCUUUACCAUAUAGCUUUCCCAUGAAUACCAACUCAACCCACUAUCCCCCCCAUCAGGUUGUUGGUUGUUUUCCCUGAGUCAGGCCUUGGUCAAAAAGGUCUAUGAUAAUUAUUGACACACACACACACACAUAUACGAACCUGUCUAUAAAAGCGAACACUUCGUUAGUUGGAAAAUUGGAAAAAUCAGCAAAGAGUCGAAUAGUUCGAAGGGAUCGACAGAAUUUCCAGACUCUAUCCUUCAAAACUUCCAGACACCAUGGAUUUCUCAGCAGGUAAGAAGAUGUAUUUUAAACAAUUGAAAUAGUUCAUUAUAAAUUGAAAUGCAAUGUUUAUGUAAUUAUCCAUUUGAUAUUGAUAUUGAUAUAAAUCUAAAACUAUUCUUUCUGAAUACAACAAUCAUCAUCCUUAUCUGGUCAUUAUGUAAACGGGUACGCUACUAUAUCUAAAUUUAGUGUUCAAUACACUUAUAUUACAGAGCAAGACCGAACUAAGCUCGUCUGAUUCUAGUGUAUAGGAUAACGUAUCAAACGAAUGCGAGUCUACAAGAUAACAGUGCCGUCAUAAUUUCUGACGAUGAAAUUUCCGAGACAUCUGAUCGAAGCCUUUUGAAUCUGAGCUCUACACCACAAAUGAAAAUCCCUCUCUAGACGAGCAGAUUUGUCAGAUGAAACCUUUUCCUUCUUAUCCACUGCUACGGUAAACUAAAGAGUAGAUUUUCAAAUUACACUGCUAAAUAUGACUAGCAUUAGCUACGUGUAGUAGUGCAAAAAUAGUCCAUCAACUGUAUUAGCAGGUGUAGCCUAUACACGAGUCCACUGCUGGUCAUAUCACUAUUGAGAACGUGUCCCAAAUUCACUGCUUUAGUAGAAUUUAAUUGUAAGUGAAAUGAUGCUCACACUGUAAUGUCCUUUGUAUUUGUUCAGUCCACAGGUCCUCUAACACUCUGUUAAAUGAAUAAAUGUAAAUGUACUACAACGUAGAUUUUGUUUUAAAUCAAUUAAUGCAGAAAUUACACACAAUAUUAUCAACAUUAUUAUGUCAACACAACUCAUCAAAAUAAUGUGUACAACUUUAAAUAUUUAAUGAAUUCAAUAAAUUAGAAUUUUUAUCUUGCAACCACACAUUAAAUUUAGAUUGUGGGGGUUUGCUUUGUAUAGCGCCGCUGUUAGAAAAUACAUGAUGGUUGAACGUGAACAUAAAUGAGCAGAAUGUAAGCUUGUGAAAUAAAUGAAACUUUAUUGAUUGCAGUUUUGAGAAAAUGGCAUGACUUUGAAUAAAAAUUUACUGAAAUAAAUACUCUAAAACAUUGAUAUACCCGAAGAAAUGUAAAAAAAAAAAAAAAAAAAAAAAAAAAAAGUUUUUACAUACCUUCUAAAUAGGUCCCUUCAGGAGGUAAACGUUUUAAAGACGGUGUUUUAUAAGAAACGCGCGUAUUACAUGCCUUCUAAACCUAACCCUUUAGGAUGUGAAAUGUUUAAAGUGUUGCUUAAAAGAAUCGAGAGUUUUGUUUAAACUAGAAGACACAUUUUUCGGGCGAUGUCUUGUAGGCCCAUACACACUCUCCUACACAUGUGUUUUCCCGGGGUGACAGUUCUGUAGAUAGUGUAAAUUUUACAUUUAUGAGCUCUGGUGACAGUGUCUGAAGUGUGUGUGUAUGUGGGUGUGGGGGUGUGCGUGCGUGUGUGUGGGUGUGUUAGAAAGAGAGAGAGAGAGAGAGAAGAGAGAGAGAGAGAGAGAGAGAGAGAGAGAGAGAGAGAGAGAGAGAGUGAGUCAUGUGUUUCCUGGGGGUUUGCUGACCAGACUGCUUACAGUGUGUUUAUGUUAAUGAAAUAAGGGAUGAGUCGUGUGUUUCAGGGUUUAACGAUCCCUACCAAUGUGUACAUUUGUGGUUUAAGUGAAUCUUUGUUUCUGAAAUUACUUCUGUCGUAAUUAUCAGUUCGUGUAACUAAUCUAUCAGAAAAUACUAGACCUGGUGACUGAAUGUGGUAGAUGUAUUAGAAUUUUGGACAUGUUAUGCAUGUGUAGCGUAUACCUGUGUACCCUAUGUGUAUGAUCUAUGUGUAAUCCUUCUGUCAAGAGAUGAACAGACUGAGGUUUGUGAAAUAAUUGAACGAUUUAUUGGCUAGGUUGUUGAGAAAAACACUGUGAUGUGUAAAACAUUUCUACAGUCCUUCAAGGCUGUAUGAUGUCGUUGUUCUCUUUUACUGAAAGACAGGUCAAAACCAUUCGUUGUGGAGACUGAAGUGACAAUAUGUCUGAAGAAAAUGAAAAUAUGUAUUACAUAUCCUACCUUCUAACCAGGUUAUUUUAAGGGUGAAAAAAACUUUUUUAAAGACCGUGUUUUAAAAGAAUCGUGCAUUUUGUUUAAACUAUAAACAAGAUUUCAGAAAAUGGUUCGCCAGUGAGGAUACUUACACAGAACUGUCGCUAAAAACAUAAGCUUUUGUCUAUGCUUUGACAUCCCAUGUCCCAGCACUACAUUUAUGACCUCUGGUGACCAUGUGGGUGUGUGUGGGUGUGUGUGUGUGAGAGAGAGACACACACAGGUGUUCUUUUGGGGGUUUUGCUGACCAGAAUUCUUACAAAUGUUUUUGUUAAUGAAUUAAAGGGAGUCGUGUGUCUCAGUGUUAAAAUAAUGGUUAAGACGUUGUGGUUAAAACACAGAAGAAACUCUGCAACUAUCUGUUACAAUGCCUACAGUGUCUGGAAUGUAUGGGAACCCGAUUUAACAUAAAUAUAUAUUUUUAUGACCUACCUCAGAGCGUUAGAAAGAACAUGUGUUUGCAACGUGUGUGGUGUCUGGAAUACAUAUGGCCGUACCAUGUGUGGUAACGUUUGUGUCAGGAAUAGCUGGGAACCCGAUCUAACAUAACUAUAUAUAUUUUUAUGACCUACCUCAGAGUGUUAGAAAGAACAUGUGUGCAACGUGUGUGGGUGUUGUUGUAACUAAUUUGGUAUACUAAAUAUGGAAAGCAAGAAAAUAACCACAGGAGACAGAGGAAAAGUAAACUACCGCAUUUAUUGGGAAUAAGGGGGGCUGGUAGGAGAGUAAGAGGGACUGGCAGGGGAAUAAGAGGGAGAAAAGACUGAUGGUAAGGGGUAUGCCCUGGAGAGGGAAUUGGACUCAACGGGUCAUCGGAAUACUCCGAACUGGGGGAAUCCAUGUUCUCCAUUGCCUCAUAGUCAUCAGCAGAGUACAAAGAAGGUGUGUCGGCGACAGGACCCGUCUGAGUGGAGGCAUCGACAAGGAUAGCAGCUGGGCUAAGCCGAUACCGCAAAGGAGGAGGAAAGGUAGACGUUGUAGACGGAGUGCGUAGGACGUCAACCAAGAGAGCAAGGUCUGCAAAUAGGUGAGACAGCUGGGAGCUAUCUAUAGAUCUAUGGACACACACACACACAGAAGGUAAGGGAGAAAGAAGAAUGAAAACAAGACCAGGAAAAAGGGCAAUAAGAACCUGAAAGUCACAGAUAAAUACAUAUGGCCGUACCAUGUAUGGUAACGUUUGUGUCAGGAAUGUAUAAGGAGAACGAAGGGAUCACGUUGGAUCCGAAAUCUAUCACCGUUAAUCCUACCAAAAGAUCCGUGGCUAAACUCGCACUAAACUCGUUGUGGGGUAAGAUGUGUCAAAGACCUGACAGAUCAAACACGACCUUAAUUCGCGAUGCUACCGAGUUUUUACAGUUCAUGUUCUCCGAUAUUUAUAAUGUGAGUCAGUUCUCUUUUUUGAAUGAGAAGGUGGCGAUGGUGCAGUGGCGUUGCACAGACGAGAGACUGAUUAAACCGCUGAACGCUAAUGUAUUCAUCGGAAAUUUCACUACCACAUACGCUAGACUCGAGCUGUACAAUUUGAAAGAUCGAUCGGAUCAGCGUUGUCCAUUCUAAUAAUGUAGUCAAAAUCCUUGCACCAUUUUCGGAACUUUUUCCAGUCACACUCGUUAAAAGUUACGCUCUCAGUAGCGCAGCUCCAGUGGAUGUGACCCGGGAUUGAAAACUUGAAAAGCACAACGGUUCCUUUUUCUGCACUGAAAAAAAAUCUGGCUGUACAUCCGUUUGACAUUACCCAAUAUUGAAUCUUUUCAUGCUCUAAAUUUUUUUGUAAUCUUCCCAAAAAAUAGUGAGGUAUUUCACUAUGUGAAUACCUAAAACCACUAUGUUUCGGUGCAUCAGGACAAGCAGCAGACAUGUUGUAAGCUCACGCACGAUCUUCGAAGUACAGAGUAUUUUUAAACCUAGAGGGUGGGUGAGGCCGUCUUCUUCUAUAAACUUACGGUGCUUAUAACGUCACCUACCGGAUGGAGCAAUUUUAUUUUCUUUUGUUCUGAUUGGACAGGUUAUGUGUGUGUGUGUGUGUGUGUGUGUGUGUGUGUGUGUGUGUGUGUG